GACGUAGGGCGCGAGCGUUGUCCGGAUUUAUUGGGCGUAAAGAGCUCGUAGGCGGCUUGUCGCGUCGAAUGUGAAAACCCACGGCUCAACUGUGGGCUUGCAUUUCGAUACGGGCAGGCGUAGAGUUCGGUAGGGGAGACUGGAAUUCCUGGUGUAGCGGUGAAAUGCGCAGAUAUCAGGAGGAACACCGAUGGCGAAGGCAGGUCUCUGGGCAUUAACUGACGCUGAGGAGCGAAAGCGUGGGGAGCGAACAGG
rnacentral:rRNA from 1 species